AUACCUUUCUCGGCCUUUUGGCUAAGAUCAAGUGUAGUAUCUGUUCUUAUCAGUUUAAUAUCUGAUAGUGAGUCAUUGACUCACAUGAUAUUAAAUUCAUUUUUCUAGGGGGAGAACUCAUCACAAUAGCUUGCUAUUGGAGUUCGCAUGUGUCGCUUGUGUGUUGCACUACUGCACUAGCCUGGCUCACCCCAC